UACGGAGGGUGCGAGCGUUAUCCGGAUUCACUGGGUUUAAAGGGUGCGUAGGUGGGCAGGUAAGUCAGUGGUGAAAUCUCCGGGCUUAACCCGGAAACUGCCAUUGAUACUAUCAGUCUUGAAUAUCGUGGAGGUAAGCGGAAUAUGUCAUGUAGCGGUGAAAUGCUUAGAUAUGACAUAGAACACCAAUUGCGAAGGCAGCUUACUACCCGAAUAUUGACACUGAGGCACGAAAGCGUGGGGAUCAAACAGG
rnacentral:rRNA from 1 species